rnacentral:tRNA from 1 species
GGUGGCUCAGUGGUAGAGUACUUGCCUUGCACUCAUGAGGCCCUGGGUUCGAUUCCUCAGCACCA